GACGAACGCUGGCGGCGUGCCUAAUACAUGCAAGUUGAGCGCUGAAGGUUGGUACUUGUACCGACUGGAUGAGCAGCGAACGGGUGAGUAACGCGUGGGGAAUCUGCCUUUGAGCGGGGGACAACAUUUGGAAACGAAUGCUAAUACCGCAUAAAAACUUUAAACACAAGUUUUAAGUUUGAAAGAUGCAAUUGCAUCACUCAAAGAUGAUCCCGCGUUGUAUUAGCUAGUUGGUGAGGUAAAGGCUCACCAAGGCGAUGAUACAUAGCCGACCUGAGAGGGUGAUCGGCCACAUUGGGACUGAGACACGGCCCAAACGCCUACGGGAGGCAGCAGUAGGGAAUCUUCGGCAAUGGACGAAAGUCUGACCGAGAAACGCCGCGUGAGUGAAGAAGGUUUUCGGAUCGUAAAACUCUGUUGGUAGAGAAGAACGUUGGUGAGAGUGGAAAGCUCAUCAAGUGACGGUAACUACACAGAAAGGGACGGCUAACUACGUG
rnacentral:rRNA from 1 species